GUGGGGAAUUUUGGACAAUGGGGGCAACCCUGAUCCAGCCAUUCCGCGUGAGUGAAGAAGGCCUUCGGGUUGUAAAGCUCUUUCGGCAGGAACGAAACGGUGAGCUCUAACAUAGCUCGCUAAUGACGGUACCUGAAGAAGAAGCACCGGCUAACUACGUGCCAGCAGCCGCGGUAAUACGUAGGGUGCGAGCGUUAAUCGGAAUUACUGGGCGUAAAGCGUGCGCAGGCGGUUGUGUAAGACAGGUGUGAAAUCCCCGGGCUUAACCUGGGAACUGCGCUUGUGACUGCACGGCUAGAGUAUGGCAGAGGGGGGUGGAAUUCCACGUGUAGCAGUGAAAUGCGUAGAGAUGUGGAGGAACACCGAUGGCGAAGGCAGCCCCCUGGGCCAAUACUGACGCUCAUGCACGAAAGCGUGGGGAGCAAACAGGAUUAGAAACCCUAGUAGUCC
rnacentral:rRNA from 1 species